GGUAGUGUGGCCGAGUGGUCUAAGGCGCUGGAUUUAGGCUCCAGUCUCUGUGGAGGCGUGGGUUCGAAUCCCACCGCUCCCUAUCA